rnacentral:rRNA from 1 species
AAUGAACGUUGGCGGCGUGGAUUAGGCAUGCAAGUCGUGCGGAAAGGCUCCUUCGGGAGUACUCGAGCGGCGAAAGGGAGAGUAACGCGUGGAUAUCUGCCCUCAGGUCCGGAAUAGCGGCGGGAAACUGCCGGUAAUGCCGGAUAACAUCCCCGGAUCAAAGGUGUGAUUCCGCCUGAGGAUGAGUCCGCGUCCUAUUAGCUUGUUGGUGGGGUAAUGGCCUACCAAGGCUGUGAUGGGUACCGGGUGUGAGAGCAUGGCCCGGCUCACUGGGACUGAGACACUGCCCAGACACCUACGGGUGGCUGCAGUCGAGAAUCUUCGGCAAUGGACGCAAGUCUGACCGAGCGACGCCGCGUGCGGGAUGAAGGCCCUUGGGUUGUAAACCGCUGUCAGAGGGAGGAAAUUCCUGGGGGCUAUCCCCCAGGAUUGACCGAGCCUCAGAGGAAGCACGGGCUAAGUUCGUG